AUGUCACCACCUCCACUCAGGCAGCAGCUGUCACCACCACCACUCAGACAGCAGCUGUCACCACCUCCACUCAGACAGCAGCUGUCACCACCUCCACUCAGACAGCAGCUGUCCCCACCUCCACUCAGACAGCAGCUGUCACCACCUCCACUCAGACAGCAGCUGUCCCCACCUCCACUCAGACAGCAGCUGUCACCACCACCACUCAGACAGCAGCUGUCCCCACCUCCACUCAGACUGCAGCUGUCCCCACCUCCACUCAGACAGCAGCUGUCACCACCACCAAUCAGACAGCAGCUGUCACCACCUCCACUCAGACAGCAGCUGUCCCCACCUCCACUCAGACAGCAGCUGUCACCACCUCCACUCAGACAGCAGCUGUCACCACCUCCACUCAGACAGCAGCUGUCCCCACCUCCACUCAGACAGCAACUGUCACCACCACCACUCCAGCAACAGCUGUCAACACCACCUCGCUGUCAGCAGCUGUCCCCACCUCCACUCAGACAGCAGCUGUCACCACCACCACUCAGACAGCAGCUGUCCCCACCUCCACUCAGACUGCAGCUGUCCCCACCUCCACUCAGACAGCAGCUGUCACCACCACCAAUCAGACAGCAGCUGUCACCACCUCCACUCAGACAGCAGCUGUCCCCACCUCCACUCAGACAGCAGCUGUCACCACCUCCACUCAGACAGCAGCUGUCCCCACCUCCACUCAGACAGCAGCUGUCCCCACCUCCACUCAGACAGCAGCUGUCACCACCACCACUCCAGCAACAGCUGUCACCACCACCUCUCUGUCAGCAGCUGUCACCACCACCUCUCUGUCAGCAGCUGUCACCACCACAGCUCAACCAACAGCAGCAUCGACAGCAGGUGUCAUCAUUUCAACACCGGCAGCAGUCAACAACGCAGUUCUGGCAACAGCUGUCAACACCUCUCUGUCAGCAGCUGUCACCACGAAUGCAGCUCCGGCAACAGCUGUCAACACCACCUCUCUGUCAGCAGCUGUCACCACCACCUCUCUGUCAGCAGCUGUCACCACCAACGCAGCUCCGGCAACAGCAUUCAACACCACCACUCUGUCAGCAGCUGUCACCACCACCUCUCUGUCAGCAGCUGUCACCACCAACGCAGCUCCGGCAACAGCAUUCAACACCACCACUCUGUCAGCAGCUGUCACCACCACCUCUCUGUCAGCAGCUGUCACCACCAACGCAGCUCCGGCAACAGCAUUCAACACCACCACUCUGUCAGCAGCUGUCACCACCACCUCUCUGUCAGCAGCUGUCAACACCAACGCAGCUCCAGCAACAGCUGUCAACACCACCUCUCUGUCAGCAGCUGUCACCACCACCUCUCUGUCAGCAGCUGUCACCACCAACGCAGCUCCGGCAACAGCAUUCAACACCACCUCUCCAGCAACAGCUUUCACCACAGCAGCUCCGACAGCAGGUGUCACCAAGGCAACUCCGGCAGCAGUCACCGCUGCAGCUCCGGAACCAGCUGUCACCACCAACCCUCAGGCAGAAGCUGUUACCACCAACCCUCAGGCAGAAGCUGUCACCACCAACCCUCAGGCAGAAGCUGUCACCACCAACCCUCAGGCAGAAGCUGUCACCACCAACCCUCAGACAGCAGCUGUCACCACCAACCCUCAGACAGCAGCUGUCACCACCAACCCUCAGACAGACGCUGUCACCACCAACCCUCAGACAGCAGCUGUCACCACCAACCCUCAGGCAGAAGCUGUCACCACCAACCCUCAGGCAGAAGCUGUCACCACCAACCCUCAGACAGACGCUGUCACCACCAACCCUCAGGCAGAAGCUGUCACCACCAACCCUCAGACAGCAGCUGUCACCACCAACCCUCAGACAGCAGCUGUCACCACCAACCCUCAGACAGACGCUGUCAACACCAACCCUCAGACAGACGCUGUCACCACCAACCCUCAGACAGACGCUGUCACCACCAACCCUCAGGCAGAAGCUGUCACCACCAACCCUCAGGCAGACGCUGUCACCACCAACCCUCAGACAGACGCUGUCACCAUCAACCCUCAGGCAGAAGCUGUCACCACCUCCACUCAGACAGCAGCUGUCACCACCAACCCUCAGACAGCAGCUGUCACCACCAACCCUCAGACAGCAGCUGUCACCACCAACCCUCAGGCAGACGCUGUCACCACCAACCCUCAGACAGCAGCUGUCACCACCAACACUCAGGCAGAAGCUGUCACCACCAACCCUCAGGCAGAAGCUGUCACCACCAACCCUCAGGCAGAAGCUGUCACCACCAACCCUCAGGCAGAAGCUGUCACCACCAACCCUCAGGCAGAAGCUGUCACCACCAACCCUCAGGAAGACACUGUCACCAUCAACCCUCAGGCAGAAGCUGUCACCACCAACCCUCAGGCAGAAGCUGUCACCACCAACCCUCAGGAAGACGCUGUCACCACCAACCCUCAGGCAGAAGCUGUCACCACCAACCCUCAGGCAGACGCUGUCACCACCAACCCUCAGACAGCAGCUGUCACCACCAACCCUCAGACAGCAGCUGUCACCACCUCCACUCAGACAGCAGCUGUCACCACCAACCCUCAGGCAGAAGCUGUCACCACCAACCCUCAGGCAGACGCUGUCACCACCAACCCUCAGUCAGACGCUGUCACCACCAACCCUCAGACAGCAGCUGUCACCACCUCCACUCAGACAGCAGCUGUCCCCACCUCCACUCAGACAGCAGCUGUCCCCACCUCCACUCAGACAGCAGUUGUCCCCACCUCCACUCAGACAGCAGCUGUCACCACCACCACUAAGACAGCAGUUGUCACCACCUCCCCUCAGACAGCAGUUGUCACCACCUCCAAUCCGGCAGCAGCUGUCACCACCUCCACUCAGACAGCAGCUGUCACCACCUCCACUCAGACAGCAGCUGUCCCCACCUCCACUCAAACAGCAGCUUUCACCACCACCAAUUCGGCAGCAGCUGUCCCCACCUCCACUCAGACAGCAGCUGUCCCCACCUCCACUCAGACAGCAGCUUUCACCACCACCAAUCCGGCAGCAGCUGUCACCACCUCCACUCAGACAGCAGCUGUCCCCACCUCCACUCAGACAGCAGCUGUCACCACCUCCACUCAGACAGCAGCUGUCCCCACCUCCACUCAGACAGCAGCUGUCACCACCUCCACUCAGACAGCAGCUGUCACCACCACCAAUCCGGCAGCAGCUGUCACCACCUCCACUCAGACAGCAGCUGUCACCACCUCCACUCAGACAGCAGCUGUCACCACCUCCACUCCUCCAGCAGCUGUCACCACCACCACUCCUCCAGCAGCUGGUACCACCACCACUCCUGCAGCAGCUGUCACCACCACUCCUGCAGCAGCUGGUGCCACCACCACUCCUGCAGCAGCUGGUGUCACCACCACUCCUGCAGCAGCUGGUACCACCACCACUCCUGCAGCAGCUGGUACCACCACCACUCCUCCAGCAGCUGGUACCACCACCACUCCUGCAGCAGCUGUCACCACCACUCCUGCAGCAGCUGGUACCACCACCACUCCUGCAGCAGCUGUCACCACCACUCCUGCAGCAGCUGGUACCACCACCACUCCUGCAGCAGCUGGUACCACCACCACUCCUCCAGCAGCUGGUACCACCACCACCCCUCCAGCAGCUGGUACCACCACCACCACUCCAGCAGCUGGUACCACCACCACCACUCCAGCAGCUGUUACCACCACCACCACUCCUGCAGCAGCUGUUACCACCACCACUCCUUCAGCAGCUGUCACCACCACCACUCCUGCAGCAGCUGUUACCACCACCACCACUUCAGCAGCUGUCACCACCACCACUCCUCCAGCAGCUGUCACCACCACCACUCCUCCAGCAGCUGGUACCACCACCACUCCUCCAGCAGCUGUCACCACCACCACUCCUCCAGCAGCUGGUACCACCACCACUCCUGCAGCAGCUGUCACCACCACUCCUGCAGCAGCUGGUGCCACCACCACUCCUGCAGCAGCUGUCACCACCACCACUCCAGUAG
rnacentral:lncRNA from 1 species